GAUGAACGCUGGCGGUAUGCUUAACACAUGCAAGUCGAACGGAAUCUUUAGGGAUUUAGUGGCGGACGGGUGAGUAACGCGUAAGAAUCUACCUUCAGGUUCGGGACAACCACUGGAAACGGUGGCUAAUACCGAAUGUGCCGAGAGGUGAAAGGCUUGCUGCCUGAAGAAGAGCUUGCGUCUGAUUAGCUAGUUGGUGUGGUAAGGGCGCACCAAGGCGACGAUCAGUAGCUGGUCUGAGAGGAUGAUCAGCCACACUGGGACUGAGACACGGCCCAGACUCCUACGGGAGGCAGCAGUGGGGAAUUUUCCGCAAUGGGCGAAAGCCUGACGGAGCAAUACCGCGUGAGGGAGGAAGGCUCUUGGGUUGUAAACCUCUUUUCUCUAGGGAAGAAAAAAUGACGGUGCCUGAGGAAUAAGCAUCGGCUAACUCCGUGCCAG
rnacentral:rRNA from 1 species